rnacentral:rRNA from 1 species
GACGAACGCUGGCGGCGUGCUUAACACAUGCAAGUCGAACGGAAAGGCCCUGCUUUUGUGGGGUGCUCGAGUGGCGAACGGGUGAGUAACACGUGAGUAACCUGCCCUUGACUUUGGGAUAACUUCAGGAAACUGGGGCUAAUACCGGAUAGGAGCUCCUGCUGCAUGGUGGGGGUUGGAAAGUUUCGGCGGUUGGGGAUGGACUCGCGGCUUAGCAGCUUGUUGGUGGGGUAGUGGCUUACCAAGGCUCUGCCGGGUAGCCGGCCUGAGAGGGUGACCGGCCACAUUGGGACUGAGAGACGGCCCAGACUGCUACGGGGGGCAGCAGUGGGGAAUAUUGUACAAUGGGCGGGAGCGUGAUGCAGCGACGCCGCGUGUGGGAUGACGGCCUUCGGGUUGUAAACCGCUUUCACCUGUGACGAAGCGUGAGUGACGGUAAUGGGAAAAGAAGCACCGGCUAACUACGUG